GAUGAACGCUAGCGGCAGGCCUAAUACAUGCAAGUCGAGGGGCAGCGCGGUAGCAAUACUGGCGGCGACCGGCGCACGGGUGCGUAACACGUAUGCAACCUACCUUCAACUGGAGGAUAGCCCAGGGAAACUCGGAUUAAUACUCCAUAACACAGGGAUCCCGCAUGGGAAUAUUGUUAAAGCUACGGCGGUUGAAGAUGGGCAUGCGUUCGAUUAGCUAGUUGGUGUAGGUAACGGCUCACCAAGGCUACGAUCGAUAGGGGGUCUGAGAGGAUGAUCCCCCACACUGGUACUGAGAUACGGACCAGACUCCUACGGGAGGCAGCAGUAGGGAAUAUUGGUCAAUGGAUGCAAGUCUGAACCAGCCAUGCCGCGUGCAGGAAGAAGGGCCUUCGUGGGUUGUAAACUGCUUUUGCCAGGGGAUAAAAUUUCCAUGCGUGGAAAACUGAAGGUACCUGGUGAAUAAGCCACGGCUAACUACGUGCCAGCAGCCGCGGUAAUC
rnacentral:rRNA from 1 species